CUAGUGGCGAACGGGUGAGUAACACGUGGGUAACCUGCCCAUCAGAGGGGGAUAACAUCCGGAAACGGAUGCUAAAACCGCAUAGGUCUUCGAACCGCAUGGUUUGAAGAGGAAAAGAGGCGCAAGCUUCUGCUGAUGGAUGGACCCGCGGUGCAUUAGCUAGUUGGUGAGGUAACGGCUCACCAAGGCCGUGAUGCAUAGCCGACCUGAGAGGGUGAUCGGCCACAUUGGGACUGAGACACGGCCCAAACUCCUACGGGAGGCAGCAGUAGGGAAUCUUCCGCAAUGGACGCAAGUCUGACGGAGCAACGCCGCGUGAGUGAAGAAGGUUUUCGGAUCGUAAAACUCUGUUGUUAGAGAAGAACAAGUGCUAGAGUAACUGUUAGCGCCUUGACGGUAUCUAACCAGAAAGCCACGGCUAACUACGUGCCAGCAGCCGCGGUAAUACGUAGGUGGCAAGCGUUGUCCGGAUUUAUUGGGCGUAAAGCGAGCGCAGGCGGUUCCUUAAGUCUGAUGUGAAAGCCCCCGGCUCAACCGGGGAGGGUCAUUGGAAACUGGGGAACUUGAGUGCAGAAGAGGAGAGUGGAAUUCCAUGUGUAGCGGUGAAAUGCGUAGAUAUAUGGAGGAAC
rnacentral:rRNA from 1 species